GGUAGUCCGUACGAGCGCACCCUUGUCCUUAGUUGCCAGCACGUAAUGGUGGGGACUCUAAGGAGACUGCCGGUGACAAACCGGAGGAAGGUGGGGACGACGUCAAGUCAUCAUGGCCCUUAUGGGUAGGGCUACACACGUGCUACAAUGGGCAGUACAGAGGGUUGCGAAGCCGCGAGGUGGAGCUAAUCUCAGAAAACUGUUCGUAGUCCGGAUUGCACUCUGCAACUCGAGUGCAUGAAGUCGGAAUCGCUAGUAAUCGCGGAUCAGAAUGCCGCGGUGAAUACGUUCCCGGGCCUU
rnacentral:rRNA from 1 species